AUUGAACGCUGGCGGCAGGCUUAACACAUGCAAGUCGAGCGGAGAUGAGGUGCUUGCACCUUAUCUUAGCGGCGGACGGGUGAGUAAUGCUUAGGAAUCUGCCUAUUAGUGGGGGACAACAUUCCGAAAGGAAUGCUAAUACCGCAUACGUCCUACGGGAGAAAGCAGGGGAUCUUCAGACCUUGCGCUAAUAGAUGAGCCUAAGUCGGCUUAGCUAGUUGGUGGGGUAAAGGCCCACCAAGGCGACGAUCUGUAGCGGGUCUGAGAGGAUGAUCCGCCACACUGGGACUGAGGCACGGCCCAGACUCCUACGGGAGGCAGCAGUGGGGAAUAUUGGACAAUGGGGGAAACCCUGAUCCAGCCAUGCCGCGUGUGUGAAGAAGGCCUUAUGGUUGUAAAGCACUUUAAGCGAGGAGGAGGCUACUGAGACUAAUACUCUUGGAUAGUGGACGUUACUCGCAGAAUAAGCACCGGCUAACUCUGUGCCAGCAGCCGCCGUAACAC
rnacentral:rRNA from 1 species